rnacentral:misc_RNA from 1 species
CAGGCAAGAGAGCUAUAUUCAAGGAUGAUGAAAAUGGAGGCACACCAACAAGUAUAGUGGAUUUUGCAGUGCCUAGAAUUAUGGCUGGGGAAUUGGUUAAGGUUUUUGACCCCAGGGUCGGUCCGCCGCAGCUUAAUGAAGCAGAGGCUGUGGAGCUGGUAGCAUAUACUGCACUUCACUGUGUGAAUUUGGAAGGAAAAGAUAGGCCAACUAUGACUGACAUUGUUGCUAA